UUACGGCCACGUCACGUUGAAACAACGGCACCUGAACGAUCACCGAAGUUAAGCAACGUAGAGCCUGAUCAGUAUAUAGAUAGGUGACCAAUUGGGAAUUCCAGGUGCUGUAAG